CUUACCGGAGAAAAGCUGAGCUUGUGCCGUCCAUAGCUGCCGACGACUCCCCUGAGACACUGGCGUCAAAACACCCGUGGAGACAGACCUCCGAAAAUCAGGGAGUUGUCUAAGGCACAAGAGGUCUUUGCAGCCUGUGUUAUUCAGGAAGACCAGAUUGGUAGACUCAGCCUGUUCCAGUGUUGAAUUGUAGAUGUACGAGCCACUCAUAUCCACGGCCGCCUGGAAAAGACCCUUUGCAAGCGGAGACAUCAUCAGGGUCCAUACAGACGUGCCACCUUGGAAAUAAAAAUCAUAUUUCA